rnacentral:tRNA from 1 species
AAAGAAAAAUGUAAACCCACUGCUAAUGGCUUUCUGCCAGUUAAAUCUGGCUUUCUUUU